rnacentral:rRNA from 1 species
AUUGAACGCUGGCGGCAGGCCUAACACAUGCAAGUCGAACGAGUGGCGGACGGGUGAGGAAUGUCUGGGAAACUGCCUGAUGGAGGGGGAUAACUACUGGAAACGGUAGCUAAUACCGCAUACCAUCGGGUGUGCCCCGAUGGGAUUAGCUAGUAGGUGGGGUAAAGGCUCACCUAGGCGACGAUCCCUAGCUGGUCUGAGAGGAUGACCAGCAACACGGGAACGGAGACACGGUCCGUACCCCUCCGGGAGGCAGCAGUGUGGAAUAUUGCCCCAUGGGCGCAAGCCUGAUGCAGCCCUGCCGCGUGUAUGAAGAAGGCCUUCGGGUUGUAAAGUACUUUCAGCGGGGAGGCGUUACCCGAAGAAGAAGCACCGGCUAACUCCGUGCCAGCAGCCGCGGUAAUUC